rnacentral:rRNA from 1 species
UACAGAGGGUGCGAGCGUUAAUCGGAAUUACUGGGCGUAAAGCGUGCGCAGGCGGUUUUGUAAGCCAGAUGUGAAAUCCCCGGGCUCAACCUGGGAAUGGCAUUUGGGACUGCAAGGCUGGAGUGUGGCAGAGGAGACUGGAAUUCCCGGUGUAGCAGUGAAAUGCGUAGAUAUCGGGAGGAAUACCGAUGGCGAAGGCAGGUCUCUGGGCUGACACUGACGCUCAUGCACGAAAGCGUGGGGAGCAAACAGG